UGGGACCCGAGGCCCCACCUGACAUCCCCUUCCUCCGGCUCCAACCGCCCCCAUGGCCGCCCGAGCCACCCCAUGACGCCGCCAUUUCCGCCCUCCUCCUCCACCCCGCGCGCGAGCCCGCCGGCCGUGGGACCCCGUGGCCCCACGUCCUUCUCAUCCCCACCUCUCCCCUCCAAAACCGCCGCCCACACCCCACGAUGCCGCCCACGCCACCGGCGGUUGCCGCCCUGUCUCCGCCUCUCCUUGGCUCGGUCCGACCUCCCCUCCCCUAUAAAAACACUCCCCAGCCUCCCCUCUCUCGUUUCCCCCAACUCCCGAGCUUCCCCGUGCCCUAAAUCGCGCUCGCGACGCGAGUCCGAGCUCCGCCGCUCGUCGCCGUGCUCCGGCCGCCCCAUGUGGCCGCUCCUGGCCACCUCACGCCGCGCCUCCGCCUCCACCGCGUUCGCCGCACCGCGUGGAACCCCCGGCCGCCACUCCUUUUUCCCCCUUCCACCCCGAAACACCGUUCCCACCGUGCACCCAAAGCCGCCACCUCUUUCACCGCCUCCAGCCGCUCGCCACCACCGCCCUAGUCGUCGCCGCGCUGCGCCACUGCCACCGACGGCUUCGCCGCGAGGUGCUGCACACCGGCCUCAGCUUCGUUUCCCCAAAUCACCACCGCAACCGCCCCUCCACCGUCGACCCGAGCCACCGCCACCAUUGGCCGACUCCAGCCGUGUUGUCCCUCUGCUCCGGUCGUCGCCGACCCACGCCGUCGCCUCCCUCGGCUCCGCAAGGACGAGGAGAACCUCGGCCACCUCUUCCCAUCGCUGAAAACUCACAGGACGUCCGCUAUCCCGUGCGUUGCUGCCGCUCGUCCGCCUCUUCCCGAGCUCCGCUCGUCGCCGGAGCAUCGUCGUCUCCCUCUACCCCGAGCUCCACCGUCGCUACCUCCCGUUGCCAUCCCGCCGCCGGCCGCCUCCUUCCGCCGUGUGGCGCUCGCGUGUAUAAUCCGUCGUUUCGAAAAUCCGCGGUCGCGAGGAAAAGAGUUCAGAAGAUAAAAGUGAAGAAGCAAG